CUAACGCUGACGGCGUGCCUAACACAUGCAAGUCGUGCGGGGUCUUAAGAGCUUGCUUUUAAGACCUAGCGGCAGACGGGUGAGUAACGCGUAAAUAACCUGCCCUAUCGCUGGGGAUAAGCUACCGAAAGGGAGUCUAAUACCGAAUGAGUCUAUUUGGCGCUGGCUGAAUAGAUGAAAGUAGUAAUGCGCGAUAGGAGGGAUUUGCGUCCCAUUAGCUAGUUGGUAAGGUAACGGCUUACCAAGGCUACGAUGGGUAGCUGGUCUGAGAGGAUGAUCAGCCACACUGGAACUGAGAUACGGUCCAGACUCCUACGGGAGGCAGCAGUGAGGAAUAUUGCGCAAUGGCCGAAAGGCUGACGCAGCGACGCCGUGUGGGGGAAGACGGCCCUUGGGUUGUAAACCCCUGUCAGUGGGGAAGAAGAUCUGACGGUACCCACAGAGGAAGCCCCGGCUAACUACGUGCCAGCAGCCGCG
rnacentral:rRNA from 1 species